rnacentral:lncRNA from 1 species
AACUAUCUCCAGUUUGAGUCAAGGUCCUUUUUCCCUUGCCGCUUAAACCGUAGAAGUCUACUCCACAGAUGAUAACCUCUCAUGCGUUGCAUGAUAGUUUGUAAAUGCAUGGAUCCUAUAAGGUCCAUGUCAUGCGUAGAUCCGGUAAAGUUGAUGAACUAGGGAGAUCUAGUCCACUGGUCGUAACGAUCACCAUAAUUGCAUAAUCCAUGCAUGAUGAUUUGUAGUUCGAUGCUCCAAUGUGCUUCAUGGGGCCGACACUAUUGCGGUAGGCAACAGAAAUAUUGGAUUAAGAAGAAAAAAAACAAGUUUAUACAAUUGACUUAUAUCUAUGAGCACAAACGGUGCAAAUUUUCACUACUAAAAAGAAAAACUAUAGAGUUCAAAAUUAUCUAACAAAUUCUAGCCCCAGUACAAGCAAUCUCUAAAACACC